rnacentral:rRNA from 1 species
UACGGGGGGAGCAAGCGUUGUUCGGAUUUACUGGGCGUAAAGGGCGCGUAGGCGGCCUCCGCAAGUCAGUUGUGAAAUCUCCGAGCUUAACUCGGAAAGGUCAACUGAUACUGCGGGGCUAGAGUGCGGAAGGGGCAACUGGAAUUCUUGGUGUAGCGGUGAAAUGCGCAGAUAUCAGGAGGAACACCAAUGGCGAAGGCAGCUCGCUGGAACGGUACUGACGCUGAGGCGCGAAAGCGUGGGGAGCAAACAGG